rnacentral:rRNA from 1 species
GAUGAACGCUGGCUACAGGCUUAACACAUGCAAGUCGUGGGGAAACGGCAUUAUGUGCUUGCACAUUCUGGACGUCGACCGGCGCACGGGUGAGUAUCGCGUAUCCAACCUGCCCCUUACUUGGGGAUACCCCGUUGAAAGACGGCCUAAUACCCGAUGUGUUUCAUUGACGGCAUCCGAUAUGAAACAAAGGUUUCCGGUAAGGGAUGGGGAUGCGUCUGAUUAGCUUGUUGGCGGGGCAACGGCCCACCAAGGCGACGAUCAGUAGGGGUUCUGAGAGGAAGGUCCCCCACAUUGGAACUGAGACACGGUCCAAACUCCUACGGGAGGCAGCAGUGAGGAAUAUUGGUCAAUGGACGCAAGUCUGAACCAGCCAAGUAGCGUGCAGGAUGACGGCCCUAUGGGUUGUAAACUGCUUUUAUGUGGGAAUAAAGUGGCGCACGUGUGCGCCAUUGCAUGUACCUCAUGAAUAAGGACCGGCUAAUUCCGUGCCAGCAGCCGCGGUAAUACGGAAGGUCCGGGCGUUAUCCGGAUUUAUUGGGUUUAAAGGGAGUGUAGGCGGUCUGUUAAGCGUGUUGUGAAAUUUAGGUGCUCAACAUUUAACUUGCAGCGCGAACUGUCAGACUUGAGUACACGCAGCGCAGGCGGAAUUCAUGGUGUAGCGGUGAAAUGCUUAGAUAUCAUGAGGAACUCCGAUCGCGAAGGCAGCCUGCGGGAGUGUUACUGACGCUUAAGCUCGAAGGUGCGGGUAUCGAACAGG